UUGAGGGUGGUUGCGUUCAGCUAACAAUGUUAAUAUCAGAAAACAAUAUGGGAAACGCUUUUAAGUUCAUCAAUCGUGAAGGGUUCUCCCGUACGGCUUAUAUGCCAAGUAAUAACUUCAUAUACCCAUGAAGAAAAUAUGUGGAAAAAAAUAAUUGU